AAAAGAACCUGAAACCGUGUACGUACAAGCAGUGGGAGCCUCUUUUAUGGGGUGACUGCGUACCUUUUGUAUAAUGGGUCAGCGACUUAUAUUCUGUAGCAAGGUUAACCGAAUAGGGGAGCCGAAGGGAAACCGAGUCUUAACUGGGCGUUAAGUUGCAGGGUAUAGACCCGAAACCCGGUGAUCUAGCCAUGGGCAGGUUGAAGGUUGGGUAACACUAACUGGAGGACCGAACCGACUAAUGUUGAAAAAUUAGCGGAUGACUUGUGGCUGGGGGUGAAAGGCCAAUCAAACCGGGAGAUAGCUGGUUCUCCCCGAAAGCUAUUUAGGUAGCGCCUCGUGAAUUCAUCUCCGGGGGUAGAGCACUGUUUCGGCAAGGGGGUCAUCCCGACUUACCAACCCGAUGCAAACUGCGAAUACCGGAGAAUGUUAUCACGGGAGACACACGGCGGGUGCUAACGUCCGUCGUGAAGAGGGAAACAACCCAGACCGCCAGCUAAGGUCCCAAAGUCAUGGUUAAGUGGGAAACGAUGUGGGAAGGCCCAGACAGCCAGGAUGUUGGCUUAGAAGCAGCCAUCAUUUAAAGAAAGCGUAAUAGCUCACUGGUCGAGUCGGCCUGCGCGGAAGAUGUAACGGGGCUAAACCAUGCACCGAAGCUGCGGCAGCGACACUAUGUGUUGUUGGGUAGGGGAGCGUUCUGUAAGCCUGUGAAGGUGUGCUGUGAGGCAUGCUGGAGGUAUCAGAAGUGCGAAUGCUGACAUAAGUAACGAUAAAGCGGGUGAAAAGCCCGCUCGCCGGAAGACCAAGGGUUCCUGUCCAACGUUAAUCGGGGCAGGGUGAGUCGACCCCUAAGGCGAGGCCGAAAGGCGUAGUCGAUGGGAAACAGGUUAAUAUUCCUGUACUUGGUGUUACUGCGAAGGGGGGACGGAGAAGGCUAUGUUGGCCGGGCGACGGUUGUCCCGGUUUAAGCGUGUAGGCUGGUUUUCCAGGCAAAUCCGGAAAAUCAAGGCUGAGGCGUGAUGACGAGGCACUACGGUGCUGAAGCAACAAAUGCCCUGCUUCCAGGAAAAGCCUCUAAGCAUCAGGUAACAUCAAAUCGUACCCCAAACCGACACAGGUGGUCAGGUAGAGAAUACCAAGGCGCUUGAGAGAACUCGGGUGAAGGAACUAGGCAAAAUGGUGCCGUAACUUCGGGAGAAGGCACGCUGAUAUGUAGGUGAAGUCCCUCGCGGAUGGAGCUGAAAUCAGUCGAAGAUACCAGCUGGCUGCAACUGUUUAUUAAAAACACAGCACUGUGCAAACACGAAAGUGGACGUAUACGGUGUGACGCCUGCCCGGUGCCGGAAGGUUAAUUGAUGGGGUCAGCGCAAGCGAAGCUCUUGAUCGAAGCCCCGGUAAACGGCGGCCGUAACUAUAACGGUCCUAAGGUAGCGAAAUUCCUUGUCGGGUAAGUUCCGACCUGCACGAAUGGCGUAAUGAUGGCCAGGCUGUCUCCACCCGAGACUCAGUGAAAUUGAACUCGCUGUGAAGAUGCAGUGUACCCGCGGCAAGACGGAAAGACCCCGUGAACCUUUACUAUAGCUUGACACUGAACAUUGAGCCUUGAUGUGUAGGAUAGGUGGGAGGCUUAGAAGUGUGGACGCCAGUCUGCAUGGAGCCGACCUUGAAAUACCACCCUUUAAUGUUUGAUGUUCUAACGUGGACCCGUGAUCCGGGUUGCGGACAGUGUCUGGUGGGUAGUUUGACUGGGGCGGUCUCCUCCUAAAGAGUAACGGAGGAGCACGAAGGUUGGCUAAUCCUGGUCGGACAUCAGGAGGUUAGUGCAAUGGCAUAAGCCAGCUUGACUGCGAGCGUGACGGCGCGAGCAGGUGCGAAAGCAGGUCAUAGUGAUCCGGUGGUUCUGAAUGGAAGGGCCAUCGCUCAACGGAUAAAAGGUACUCCGGGGAUAACAGGCUGAUACCGCCCAAGAGUUCAUAUCGACGGCGGUGUUUGGCACCUCGAUGUCGGCUCAUCACAUCCUGGGGCUGAAGUAGGUCCCAAGGGUAUGGCUGUUCGCCAUUUAAAGUGGUACGCGAGCUGGGUUUAGAACGUCGUGAGACAGUUCGGUCCCUAUCUGCCGUGGGCGCUGGAGAACUGAGGGGGGCUGCUCCUAGUACGAGAGGACCGGAGUGGACGCAUCACUGGUGUUCGGGUUGUCAUGCCAAUGGCACUGCCCGGUAGCUAAAUGCGGAAGAGAUAAGUGCUGAAAGCAUCUAAGCACGAAACUUGCCCCGAGAUGAGUUCUCCCUGACCCUUUAAGGGUCCUGAAGGAACGUUGAAGACGACGACGUUGAUAGGCCGGGUGUGUAAGCGCAGCGAUGCGUUGAGCUAACCGGUACUAAUGAACCGUGAGGCUUAACCUUACAACGCCGAAGGUGUUU
rnacentral:rRNA from 1 species